UGGUCGGUUAGUAGAUGUGUGCUUGCAUUUGCUAUGUUUACUCUGCCGCACAUGGAAUUUUGUUUCUAAAUUUAACAUUAAUGAAAUGUUAUAUUCUCUAAUAAAGAGAUGACUGCUUGACUGUGGCCUCACGGCAGGCCGCCAAAAUGAUACGCUGCCUUAAAGGAAAGCUUCUAGCCAGCAAAGCAGCGUCUCUUAAAUACUUCAUUUAGUGGAUACAAAGAAUUUUUAAUAAAUCUCUACUAAGCUAAGCUUCUGACUAAGAAAAGCAUGGAGUGACAAUUGCUGAUAUCUUUCCUCUAAAGGACUUUUUUGUCGUUGGCGGGCUAACAUUUAUUAGCAACUCCACAAAAUGCUCAAAUUUAAUAAAUGGAAAAUCAUGAUUGAAAA